rnacentral:rRNA from 1 species
CCUACGGGCGGCAGCAGUGAGGAAUAUUGGUCAAUGGCCGGAAGGCUGAACCAGCCAAGCCGCGUGAAGGACGAAGGUGCCAAGCAUUGUACACUUCUUUUGUCAAGGGACACAAUCAGGCUCGAGAGCCUGACCGAGGGCACUUGAAGAAAAAGCAUCGGCUAACUCCGUGCCAACAGCCGCGGUAAUACGGAGUAUGCGAGCGUUAUCCGGAUUUAUUGGGUUUAAGGGGUGGGUAGGCGGGCUGUUACGUCCGCGCUAAAACCCCGGGGCUCAACCCCAGCGAGCCGUUGAAACUGGCUGUCGUGAGAUGUCGAGAGGUAUGCGGAAUGCGCAGUGUAGCGGUGAAAUGCUUAGAUAUUGCGCAGAACUCCGAUUGCGAAGGCAGCAUACCGGCGGCGAUCUGACGCUGAGGCACGAAAGCGUGGGUAGCGAACAGGAUUAGAUACCCGGGUAGUC